UGCCAGCAGCCGCGGUAACACGUAGGCAUCAAGCGUUAUCCGGAUUUAUUGGGCGUAAAGAGCUCGUAGGCGGAUUAGUAAGUUAGGGGUGAAAUCCCGGGGCUCAACCCCGGAACUGCCUCUAAUACUGCUAGUCUUGAGUUCGAGAGAGGUGAGUGGAAUUCCGAGUGUAGAGGUGAAAUUCGUAGAUAUUCGGAGGAACACCAGUGGCGAAGGCGGCUCACUGGCUCGAUACUGACGCUGAGGUGCGAAAGCGUGGGGAGCAAACAGGAUUAGAUA
rnacentral:rRNA from 1 species